CAGUGUAGACGUAUAGAUAGUUUUUGUGCCGGGAAAAAUCAUAACGACAAGUGGACCAAAGUCGCAAAGAGCAACCGAAAUUCAAAACGCAGAAGAAGUAGAAGAAACUCGCGUCGUGUGGUGAAUCAAAUUCAAUCCGCAGAAGAAAACAUGUUACUCUUUGCAACACUUCUUCUCUUUUCUCUGCAAUCGAGUAUCUUAACACCGAUUCCAGUAAAACCCACUAAACACUCUUCGAAUCUCUCCGUCACCAACUCCGCCUCUUACGGCGAGAGAAUCAGCAGUAGCACGCGCCGGAGAACCAUUUCACCCUUCGAAUCCCGAAUCUCACUCAUUUUCGCCCUCGCUCCUCAAGCCAACACUCUCUCCCAGCGACUUCUAGCGGACGUGGCUGCCGAGACUGCGAAAUACGUGUUUCCGAAGAGAUUUGAAAACCGCAAUCUCGAGGAGGCGUUGAUGAGUGUUCCGAACCUUGAGACUGUCGAGUUCAAAGUUCUGAGUAGAAGGGACCAGUAUGAGAUUAGGGAAGUCGAGCCUUACUUUGUGGCAGAGACAACAAUGCCUGGAAAGAGUGGGUUUGAUUUCAAUGGUGCUUCUCGGUCCUUCAAUGUUCUGGCUGAGUACCAUUUUGGUAAGAAUACAACUAAAGAGAAAAUGGAGAUGAAUACACCUGUUUUCACAAGUAAGAAUCAAUCUGAUGGGGUUAAAAUGGAUAUGACAACUCCUGUGUUAACAACAAAGAUGGAAGAUCAAGAUAAUUGGAAAAUGUCUUUUGUCAUGCCAUCAAAGUAUGGAGCUAACUUGUCACUGGCUAAAGAUUCCUCUGUGAGGAUUAAAGAGGUGCCCAGAAAAAUAAUUGAUGUAGUUUCCUUUUCAGGUUUUUGUGAAUGAUGAAGAAAUUAAGCAGCGCGAAUUGAAACUACAAGAUGCUUUAAAAAGUGACAGUCAGUUUAAAAUUAAAGAGGGAACUUCAGUUGAAGUUGCACGGGUUAGAAUCUUAAUGCAAUCUUGGGGUUAAAGGAAGAGAAGUUACUUAUGAAUAGCAGGAACUAGAAGACCUGUGUCACUAGCAUAGAUAUUGGCAAGCAAUGUAUGCUGAAGGGAUAAAGGUUUGAGCCCUGAAGAUGCUACUUGUGAAGAGGACUAAAACCAUAUUGUUCCGUACCUGAAAGGGACUAGUCUUACACCCAAAGGACGCGUGAACACCAGAGAAACCAAUAGGAAAAGAGUGGGAAAGACAAUUAUAAUGAAUGUCAGUUUACACAAGGCCACGAGUCAGUACGCUUGACAAUUGUGUGCUAUAAUUGAGAUUUGAUACUUCUAAAUUUUAAUUGUAGUAGUUCCCAUGGGCAAUAGAGUCCUAUUAGUUUGUGGAUAUUAUGCUGUGAGAAGAUUUCUAUUUCAUUUUUGUCGCUUUGAUGAAGGCAGAAUAUAAGAUAAUGGAAACUUAAAUAGAAUGAUUGUGUGAAGUUUCCUAGAUUUGAGGAUAUAUUCCUCAUCUCAUGCGUCUAGUAUCAGUUCGGGAGGGUUGGUGUUAACGUAUCUAGUUAACAAAUGUUAUCACUGUAACAAUUAUUGCUGUUUUUUUUGUUUUUAACGAUAAUACUUUUUCUAAUUAAGAAUUGAUGGUUUGUAAUUUCAGCA